ACGAAGAGCGAAUAGCUCAAACAUUAACCAACUCAAGCUAGGGUUGGGAAAAACUCACCUCAAGUGGAAAACCCUCUCUAAAUCCUCAAAUGGAAGGUAGAGGUCUUCCAAUCUAACCUAUAUAAAGGUUCCAAACCAUUCAAAUGAGAUCAAGAAGCCUCAAAUCAAGAAUCCCCAAAUCUAACCCUAAAAUCCAAAAUCUAGGGUUUAGACAAGCAAAAAGCUCCAAAACUAAGAUCUAGAGGAAGGAACCUUGCCACUUACCUCUAGGAUGCUCCAAUCCAAGCUCAAAAUCUUCUAGGGUUGAAGAUUGAUCCACCACAAAGCUCCAAAAGCAAGCUCCAAGCCUCCAAAGGUGAGAAAUGAGGAAGAAGAUGGUGCUCCAAGGCCUCCAAGCAAGCUCCUUCUCCUCUUCUUCUCCUUCUUCUCCUUCCCUUUCUCUCUCUAGAAGUGUAGGGAGAGUGUGAGGGAGAGAAAAUGAGAAUGAGAGGGGGUAGAGAGGCUCCCUAUAGCCUCUAAAGUAACAAAAUCCACUUAGGCCCCUCAAAAACUCAAAUUUACAUCAGCCCGGUCUGGGCAGUUUUCGCCCAGAGGGACCGGUCUCCCCGACCUGGGACCGGUCUCUCAGCCUGCCCCCGAAAAUCCAACGUUCGGGAACCGGUCUCUCCCUGCGCGGGACCGGUCUCUCCCCGCGCAGACGCGCUCGGGGACCGGUCUCGAUUGCCAGGGACCGGUUGCCUCGCCGGCUGCGCUGCACUGUUCACUGGGGGACCGGUCUCUCCUAUCAGGGACCGGUCCCCGAGAGUAAAAACUCUCAGGACUCUGCCAAAAGUCUCGAGAUCGAACUUUUAGGCCGGUAUACCAUCGACGGCCCUCCACCAAGUGUGGAAAAGUUCGGAAUACAAAUCGAACACUCGAACCUCGCAAUUUGCAAUGGUCCAGUGUGCUACACGGUGGAUACGCAGAAUAGUGUAGAAUUGAAUUACGCUUGUGCUGGGAUGCCGAGUUUAUUUUUACAGUAUUGUUUAGACUUAUCCGGACUGUCGGGUGCUGUUGUGGUUGACGGUGGACCCAGUUUACUGUUUUUGCAUCAUAUUAUGCCGAGGGCAUGUGGAUUAUGGUUGUUGGA
rnacentral:lncRNA from 1 species